CGGUGGUGCAGCAUCUCAAACCCUUCCAGGCAUGCGACCUUCUCAAGGCAAGCUCAGGCACACAGAAGGGCAAGGCGUUUUGUAGCAAGCCCAGGCCUCUGAUCUGGAUUUUUUUUUUCUCUUUUUGUUGAGAGUUGAUUAUCUACUGCAGUUUUUUUUUCCUUUUCUUUCUUAUUCAUCUCGUCUUGCUCCUUUGCUUCUACCCGAUCUGGCAUAAUCUUUUUCUUUUUUCUGUUGUGCCUUUUUUUAUUCUCUGCUGCUGUUUUUUUUCUUUUUUCUUGUGAUGUUACUGUUUUUUUUUUCUCUUUUUCUGUCAUUUCUUUUACACAGUAAGCUUUGGUGUCUUUUACAAGUUACACAAAUCAUCUAUUGCUCCAUCCUACUCACAAA
rnacentral:misc_RNA from 1 species